UGACCGAUGGUGUAACGGUAGCACAGAGGUUUUUGGUGCCUUUAGUUGAGGUUCGAAUCCUUGUCGGUCAA
rnacentral:tRNA from 1 species